UACGGGGGGAGCAAGCGUUGUUCGGAUUUACUGGGCGUAAAGGGCGCGUAGGCGGCGCAACAAGUCACUUGUGAAAUCUCCGGGCUUAACCCGGAGCGGCCAAGUGAUACUGUCGUGCUAGAGUGCGGAAGGGGCUACUGGAAUUCUCGGUGUAGCGGUGAAAUGCGUAGAUAUCGAGAGGAACACCUGCGGCGAAGGCGGCGACCUGGGCUGAUACUGACGCUGAGGUGCGAAAGCGUGGGGAGCAAACAGG
rnacentral:rRNA from 1 species